UAAAGUCCCCAUGGGCUGUGAAGGACUUGUCACAGUCCACUCCAGAAAUGGCUUCAUUGCAACAAAACACAUUUAUUAAAUCCUAUGGGGUCUUUCCAUGUAGCGCCUCGAGAGCCUUCCCUUCAGGUCUUUGCACUUCAAGGGAAACAGCUCCACAGUUCUGCAGCGCUGCCUUGAUUCAGCUUGCACAUUAUCCCUAGUCCUGGCCCCUCUCAGCAGUCACGAGAUAAGCUUCGAAGAAACAAGGUUGUUGAUUGACGGCUCAUUAGAAGUUGCAAGAGCAACAAAAGGGAGCCUGCAGCAGCCGGAGCUCACCGCCCGCCUGCCUGGGAGGACGCUGGUCAGCGCUGGCCUGAGAGGAACAAAGACCGCGGGAGACACUGGAGGAAAACAACAUGAAAUUUUCAUGGUGUGCGAGAAAGGCCAGGUGUAAUGGAUCAGGGCCAAAGCCUCCCCUGCCCCCACGGCCCCGCCGCAUAGAUUGACUUUCUAUAUUUAGGCACUCACGGAGAGCAUAGGUUGUGCCACACGGCACGUACACGCGUGCACAAAUCCAGGCUACCCUGACUUCUCCAUGCCAGACCGAAUUUAUCUGUCAGUCCAUUCAGAAAUGAAAGGCUCCAAGUACAUACAGUGUUAAUAUCUGUACAUAUUAGAUGUCAGGACUCCAGCCUUAGAUAAGGUCACACACUGAGCCAAACUCACCCCUGCAGUGUAAGCCGGACAAGGCUCACGAGGAAUGAUUUUGGCUUAAUGUGACUGCCUGGAGUUGUGUUUGUUUUUACAAAUCUUGUUUACCCUUGGUGUAAGCGUUUCCUCAUGGUUAGGAGACUUCUACCAGGCACAUGCCAAUCCACCUUCAACCCACAAACUGGGGUGUCUGUUUCUCUAGUUUCCCACAGGGGUUCUUCAAGCCCCCUGACUCAAGUGCUGAAGGGCACUUGCUCAUCAGACAUGCUGGCUGGUGACAGCCUUCCCUCAAUCCUCUAAGAGCUACACAGUAGAGACAUAUUCAUAACAAAUUGAUGCAAAGAAAAUUACCCUUUGCCCUUUGUAUACAGUGUCAUCUGACAAUAGUUACAAGUGAGUUUUAGUUAAAAUUUUUCAGUGGAAUUUUUUGCUCAAAUUCCCUCUUUUCCAUGUUGAAGAGAAUUCUGUUUGAGGUGUAGGUAUCAAUGGUAGGUAAUCAAGGUGUGCCUGAGGUCAAAAAUCAUAUUUUAAUUCUAGUAGGUCACUUAGACUUCUUCAGUAAGUGCUCUAAAAAGAAAAGUUAUCUGUCCUAUCUAAUAGUUAUCUAACUUCCAGAUAUGUGCUUUCAUGAAUAGUCAAAUACAGGGCUUUAAAUUUACCUCUUGUAAGCUUUUAAACAAGCACAAAUUCACUAUGCAAUUGGACCAAAAUGCCUGGAUCGUGCUUUUUUUUUUGCAUGUUAAUAAAUUAAAUACAUGCAGAAAUGUUUGUAGGAUACUCCUAAUUGUGGAACACCCUGGAAAAACACUAGACUCAAAGAGAAAAUUAGAUUGUAGAGGCGGUGUGCAACAAGGUGCUGCUAUAUUAUUUAACUUUAGAAACUUGCAUGCUGCUGGAAUUUAGGUAACACUUCUGGUUGUAUUAAGACUUUACAGCCUGAGGAAAGCCAGUAUUUUGUGAAAUGGAUAAAAUGACACCAAGGAUGCCAUGGAAUUUACUGAUAAAACCUAAAUAUAUUAUCUCUGUUCUUCAGUGAGCAUAUCUUAAUAUCAGAUUCCCUAAACUUAGUAGUG